rnacentral:rRNA from 1 species
UACAUAGGUCUCAAGCGUUGUUCGGAAUUACUGGGCUUAAAGGGCGUGCAGGCGGACCAGCAAGUCCCUUGUGAAAUCUCAGGUCUCAACCCUGAGUCUGCUAGGUAGACUGCUGGUCUUGAGUGCAAAAGGGGUCGCUGGAACUCUAGGUGGAGCGGUGAAAUGCGUAGAUAUCUAGAGGAACGCCAAAGGUGAAGACAGGCGACUGGUUUGCAACUGACGCUCAUAGACGAAAGCGUGGGGAUCAAACGGG